CUCGUAGGUGGCCAACUAAGUCAGACGUGAAAUCCCUCAGCUUAACUGGGGAACUGCGUCUGAUACUGGAUGGCUUGAGAUUGGGGAGAGGGAUGCGGAAUUCCAGGUGUAGCGGUGAAAUGCGUAGAUAUCUGGAGGAACACCGGUGGCGAAGGCGGCAUCCUGGACCAACACUGACACUGAGGAGCGAAACGCCGAGGGGAGACGAAACG
rnacentral:rRNA from 1 species